AUUGAACGCUGGCGGCAGGCCUAACACAUGCAAGUCGAGCGAGCGGCGAACGGGUGAGUAAUGUCUGGGCCAAUGCCUGAUGGAGGCGGAAAACUACUGGAAAAGGUAGCUAAUACCGCAUCCCAUCAGAUGCGCCCAGAUGGGAUUAGCUAGUAGGUGGGGUAACGGCUCACCUAGGCGACGAUCCCUGGCUGGUCUGCGAGGAUGACCAACAGCACGGGAGCUUAGACACGGUCAGUACUCCUGCAGUAGGGAGCAGUGAGGAAUAUUGCACGACGGGAGCUAUCCUUAUGCAGGCAGGCCGAGUGUGUGAAGAAGGCCUUCGGGUUGUAAAGCAUUUUCAGCGGGGAGGCGUUACCCGCAGAAGAAGCACCGGCUAACUCCGUGCCAGCAGCCGCGGUAAUUC
rnacentral:rRNA from 1 species